rnacentral:rRNA from 1 species
UACGUAGGUGGCAAGCGUUGUCCGGAAUUACUGGGCGUAAAGGGUGCGUAGGCGGUUCGUUAAGUCUGUUGUGAAAUCCCCGGGCUCAACCUGGGAAUGGCAAUGGAUACUGGCGAGCUAGAGUGUGAUAGAGGAUGGUGGAAUUCCCGGUGUAGCGGUGAAAUGCGUAGAGAUCGGGAGGAACAUCAGUGGCGAAGGCGGCCAUCUGGAUCAACACUGACGCUGAAGCACGAAAGCGUGGGGAGCAAACAGG